UGAGGUUUUUGGUAGGUUUCAUCGAC
rnacentral:piRNA from 1 species